rnacentral:rRNA from 1 species
AGUGGCGAACGGGUGAGUAACACGUGAGCAAUCUGCCCCUGACUCUGGGAUAAGCGCUGGAAACGGCGUCUAAUACCGGAUAGUCAGGGAUGAGCUCGCGGCCUAUCAGCUAGUUGGUGAGGUAAUGGUCACCAAGGCGCGACGGGUAGCCGGCCUGAGAGGGUGACCGGCCACACUGGGACUGAGACACGGCCCAGACUCCUACGGGAGGCAGCAGUGGGGAAUAUUGCACAAUGGGCGCAAGCCUGAUGCAGCAACGCCGCGUGAGGGACGACGGCCUUCGGGUUGUAAACCUCUUUUAGCAGGGAAGCGGUACCUGCAGAAAAAGCACCGGCUAACUACGUGCCAGCAGCCGCGGUAAUACGUAGGGUGCAAGCGUUAUCCGGAAUUAUUGGGCGUAAAGAGCUCGUAGGCGGUUUGUCGCGUCUGCUGUGAAACUGGGGGCUCAACCCCCAGCCUGCAGUGGGUACGGGCAGACUAGAGUGCGGUAGGGGAGAUUGGAAUUCCUGGUGUAGCGGUGGAAUGCGCAGAUAUC